rnacentral:rRNA from 1 species
UACGGGGGGGGCAAGCGUUGUUCGGAAUUACUGGGCGUAAAGGGUUCGUAGGUUGCCAACUAAGUCAUACGUGAAAUCCCUCAGCUUAACUGGGGAACUGCGUCUGAUACUGGUUGGCUUGAGUGCAGGAGAGGAACGCGGAAUUCCAGGUGUAGCGGUGAAAUGCGUAGAUAUCUGGAGGAAUACCGGUGGCGAAGGCGGCGUUCUGGACUGCAACUGACACUGAGGAACGAAAGCCAGGGGAGCAAACGGG